rnacentral:rRNA from 1 species
GACGAACGCUGGCGGCGUGCUUAACACAUGCAAGUCGAACGGAAAGGCCCUGCUUUUGUGGGGUGCUCGAGUGGCGAACGGGUGAGUAACACGUGAGUAACCUGCCCUUGACUUUGGGAUAACUUCAGGAAACUGGGGCUAAUACCGGAUAGGAGCUCCUGCUGCAUGGUGGGGGUUGGAAAGUUUCGGCGGUUGGGGAUGGACUCGCGGCUUAUCAGCUUGUUGGUGGGGUAGUGGCUUACCAAGGCUUUGACGGGUAGCCGGCCUGAGAGGGUGACCGGCCACAUUGGGACUGAGAUACGGCCCAGACUCCUACGGGAGGCAGCAGUGGGGAAUAUUGCACAAUGGGCGGAAGCCUGAUGCAGCAACGCCGCGUGCGGGAUGACGGCCUUCGGGUUGUAAACCGCUUUCGCCUGUGACGAAGCGUGAGUGACGGUAAUGGGUAAAGAAGCACCGGCUAACUACGUGCCAGCAGCCGCGGUGAUACGUAGGGUGCGAGCGUUGUCCGGAUUUAUUGGGCGUAAAGGGCUCGUAGGUGGUUGAUCGCGUCGGAAGUGUAAUCUUGGGGCUUAACCCUGAGCGUGCUUUCGAUACGGGUUGACUUGAGGAAGGUAGGGGAGAAUGGAAUUCCUGGUGGAGCGGUGGAAUGCGCAGAUAUCAGGAGGAACACCAGUGGCGAAGGCGGUUCUCUGGGCCUUUCCUGACGCUGAGGAGCGAAAGCGUGGGGAGCGAACAGGCUUAGAUACCCUGGUAGUCCACGCUGUAAACGGUGGGUACUAGGUGUGGGGUCCAUUCCACGGGUUCCGUGCCGUAGCUAACGCUUUAAGUACCCCGCCUGGGGAGUACGGCCGCAAGGCUAAAACUCAAAGGAAUUGACGGGGCCCCGCACAAGCGGCGGAGCAUGCGGAUUAAUUCGAUGCAACGCGUAGAACCUUACCUGGGUUUGACAUGGAUCGGGAGUGCUCAGAGAUGGGUGUGCCUCUUUUGGGGUCGGUUCACAGGUGGUGCAUGCCUGUCGUCAGCUCGUGUCGUGAGAUGUUGGGUUAAGUCCCGCAACGAGCGCUACCCUUGUUCACUGUUGCCAGCACGUUAUGGUGGGGACUCAGUGGAGACCGCCGGGGUCAACUCGGAGGAAGGUGGGGAUGACGUCAAGCCCUCAUGCCCCUUAUGUCCAGGGCUUCACGCAUGCUACAAUGGCUGGUACAGAGAGUGGCGAGCCUGUGAGGGUGAGCGAAUCUCGGAAAGCCGGUCUCAGUUCGGAUUGGGGUCUGCAACUCGACCUCAUGAAGUCGGAGUCGCUAGUAAUCGCAAAUCAGCAACGCUGCGGUGAAUACGUUCCCGGGGCU